rnacentral:lncRNA from 1 species
CAGCAAUCCAUGAAUAGAAUAUCUCCACAAACAACACGUAGAAUUGUGCAGUGCUUUUAAACUCUCAUCCCAAACCAAAAAUUCCACCACUCGGAGCACCUAUGCCGACGGAAAAUUCCAACACUGGCCAUUCCAAAGCAUUUAGGAUGAGAAAUUUCUCCGCCACAUAAACAAACACCCGACAUUUCACAACGGUUGCACUGGCAAAUCCACAAUAACCCACAAAUAUUUACCCAUAUUUUAAGCAAUUCCACAUUGAAAAAAUAGAGAAUCAAUAAAAUAACACUUCAAAAUGCCACAAAUCAGCAGGCAUCCCCGACAGCAAGGUUGAGCUUCGGGUUCCAUCAGGCGUGAAAAAACCACUUCCCUACAGCAGCUGGUGUGUGUGUGUGUGUGUGUGUGUGUGUGUG